AAACUAAUAAUAGUUCAAUUAAUUAAAAAAAUAAGACAGCCAAAUUUAAUUAAUUGAAGGCAGUCCAAAGUCCUUAAAUAAAAUAAGGCCCAACAAAUUUAUUUAAAAAAAAUCAUGGCCCAACUGAAAAUAAAACAAAUAAAAUCGGCUCAAGCUUUUAAAAAAAAAAUCGCAGCCCAACACUAAUUAAAACCCGGCCCAACACUGAAGCCCACUCCCCAACCAAGCCCUAGCCCACACUCUAGCCCUUUUUCUUCCCCCCCCAGCCGCACACACACACACACGCAUACAAUAAAAUUUUCACUCUCUCUCGGUCACACUCACACACACAUGAAGCAGCUGCGCAGCGGCAACCUCUCCCCCCCCUUUCUUCUUUUCCGGCGGCGGUAGUAGCGCCGCCUCCGCCGUCCCCUGACUCCCCUCUCCCCCAUCUCUCGCCUCUCACACACAGACGCACACAAUCACAUAUCUCACUCUCUCCCUCUUCACGCCAAACCCGCCACCGCGGUUCUACCUCCGGCGGCCGCAGCGAGCCACGGUCGCUGCCCUCUUCGGUCUCCAGCGAGCACAACAGACGGCCACCACCGCCGUCCGCCGACUCCGACUCUCCUCUACCUCCGACCGUGGCCGAGCAACAGCAGCUAUAGCCGCCGAGCUCUCCACCUCCAUCGUCUCUCUCUCAAAUCUCAUGGAAUCAGCCCGGCGACUACAAUGACCAGCCACCUGAACUCCCCCCCGUCCGUGGUCGGACGACAGCAACAGCAAGGCUGCCGCGCCCUGGCCUCCCUCUUCCACUACCGAUCUCUCCCCCUGCUCUCUCUCCUCCUUGGCGACAACGAAAACGCCAUCGCCUCCCUGAACUCCCUCUGCUCUCUCAACUCCUGGCUUCGACAGGCAGCAGCUGCCAGGCCACUACUGCCGCCUGCCCUCUCUUAUACGGCCGGAUGGCCGGCAGCGAGCACGCCGCCAUCCCGGCACCGCUCAACCCAACACACACACACACACGGUUACAAAGCUUGAAUUUGUUCAAACAAAUCUAUUACUUUAAAAGUAAAAUUUAGUAAAUUCUAGAAAUCUAUACACAUGAAUAUAUAUAUAUAUAUAUACAAGGUCCAUACAUAUAUGUCUUGUGUAAUGUUGUUGGUUUUACGUGGUAGUUGUAUGCUAUGAAUUGUUUAGAUGAAAAGCUCAGCAGAGUAAAGAAUUUGAGAGUAAAGAAUUUGAGAGAGAUAUGCAGUGUAUGGUUUAAAAAAAAAUUGAACCUUUGAAGCUCUUUGCUUUGCUAGGGAGUUGUUACUGCACAAUCAAGAAGGAAAAGAACUUAGAUUCUUAUUGCUGUAGAAAGAAGCUUGCUGCAGAUUGAAAAAUUUGGUGAAGGGGCCUUGCGAAAAUAUUUUGGUGGAAUAAGUGAGGGAGAGCUUGGCUGAUUUGCUAAGUGGAAUUUGACAGCAUAAAAACAAAAUAAAGUGGAAACAAAAGAGAGUGGAAGCAAAAGAAAGUGGAAGCAAAAGAAUUUGAUAAGAUAUGAAUUGAUUUAAUUGUCUGCAUAUAAGACAUGUAUAAAAAAAUAAUCAUGAUAUACGGUGGCUAUUAGGAACAUAGGGUAUGGUGUGAGAUUAGGAACAUAGGGUAUGGUGUGAGAUGGGGUGUUGAUUGAACUAAUAAAAUCCCUCAAGAUAAAAUACCGGGACUGUAAUAAUACUUCAGGGUUCGCUAAAUAAAUAGCUCGUGAAAAUACUUGAAUGCUAAAUUAAAUAAAUAUGCAAUGCAUAUAAAUUCAAUAACUAAAUUUACAAAUGUUUUUUGUAAAUCAUUUUUGUUGGAAUUAAAAAUAAAUUUAUUUUCUUUAUAUCCGGCGUGAAUCAUCUUAAUCUAAGUUUUAAAAAAAAUUCUAAAUUUAAUAUA
rnacentral:lncRNA from 1 species